GGGAAUCUACCCAGAUCUACGGAACAACAGUUGGAAACGACUGCUAAUACCGUAUACGCCCUACGGGGGAAAGAUUUAUCGGAUUUGGAUGAGCCCGCGUAAGAUUAGCUAGUUGGUGGGGUAAUGGCCUACCAAGGCGACGAUCUUUAGCUGGUCUGAGAGGAUGAUCAGCCACACUGGGACUGAGACACGGCCCAGACUCCUACGGGAGGCAGCAGUGGGGAAUAUUGGACAAUGGGCGCAAGCCUGAUCCAGCCAUGCCGCGUGAGUGAUGAAGGCCUUAGGGUUGUAAAGCUCUUUCACCGAUGAAGAUAAUGACGGUAGUCGGAGAAGAAGCCCCGGCUAACUUCGUGCCAGCAGCCGCGGUAAUACGAAGGGGGCUAGCGUUGUUCGGAUUUACUGGGCGUAAAGCGCACGUAGGCGGUUUGUUAAGUCAGGGGUGAAAUCCCAGAGCUCAACUCUGGAACUGCCUCUGAUACUGGCAAGCUAGAGUCCGGAAGAGGUAAGUGGAACUCCUAGU
rnacentral:rRNA from 1 species